rnacentral:rRNA from 1 species
UGCCAGACUCCUACGGGAGGCAGCAGUGGGGAAUAUUGCACAAUGGGGGAAACCCUGAUGCAGCGACGCCGCGUGAGCGAUGAAGUAUUUCGGUAUGUAAAGCUCUAUCAGCAGGGAAGAAAAUGACGGUACCUGACUAAGAAGCCCCGGCUAACUACGUGCCAGCAGCCGCGGUAAUACGUAGGGGGCAAGCGUUAUCCGGAUUUACUGGGUGUAAAGGGAGCGUAGACGGCAAUGCAAGCCAGAUGUGAAAGCCCGGGGCUCAACCCCGGGACUGCAUUUGGAACUGUGUAGUUGGAGUGUCGGAGAGGCAGGCGGAAUUCCUAGUGUAGCGGUGAAAUGCGUAGAUAUUAGGAGGAACACCAAUGGCGAAGGCGGCCUGCUGGACGAUGACUGACGUUGAGGCUCGAAAGCGUGGGGAGCAAACAGGAUUAGAUACCCGCGUAGAA